rnacentral:rRNA from 1 species
AUUGAACGCUGGCGGCAGGCCUAACACAUGCAAGUCGAACGAGUGGCGGACGGGUGAGUAACACGUGGGAACCUACCCAUCAGAGGGGGAUAACACUUGGAAAAAGGUGCUAAUACCGCAUAUUGAUGGAUGGACCCGCGGUGCAUUAGCUAGUUGGGGAGGUAACGGCUCACCAAGGCCACGAUGCAUAGCCGACCUGGAAGGAUUACCAGCCACCCUGGAACUUAGACCCGGUCCAGACUCCUACGGGAGGCAGCAGUGGUGAAGAUUGCACAAUGGGCGCAAGCCUGAUGCAGCCAUGCCGCGUGUAUGAAGAAGUCCUUCGGGUUGUAAAGUACUUUCAGCGAGGAGGCGUUACUCGCAGAAGAAGCACCGGCUAACUCCGUGCCAGCAGCCGCGGUAAUAC